AAUGAUCUCUCUCUCUCUCUCUCUCUCUCUCUCUCUCUCUCUCUCUCUCUCUCUCUCUCUUUUAUUUAUUUAUUUAUUUUUAUCUCAACUUAUAUUGUUUGUAUCUUUUGUGUGGUUUGAUAGCAGAGGUGUGGAUGAGCCUCCUCGAAACCAAAGUAUAGCGGUUUAUUAAUAAAUUCUUUAGGUAGAGAUUGGAUUGAUUUUUUGGUGUAUGUUGUCGCUCUUAAAUUGUUUUGAUCUUAAUUUGUGUCCAACCUGUUUUAGGUUGGAGUUGCAUUAUUUUUUGGAGUACCUUCGGGCAUCAACAAUUCAACAUGCAAGCUUAUUCUCAUCAGCAGCGGUGCACUGGUGCACUGGUGGUGGUGGAAUAGUCUCUCUCUGACUAACAAGGAGUGAAUGAUUGAAAAUUUAUUCUUCGGGUUUACUAUAUGAUUUAUCGAAUAAGAAAGUGCAGUUUUUGGGUAUGAGCUGCAUUCAGUUUUGCCCAUUGGUUCAAUUGCACUAAACGAGCCCACAGGUUUCAUGCGUCUUCUAAAAGUUAAGACCCUUGCGAGUAACACUGGGGGCAUGCGAAAACAUUGAUGUUUGCUCAUGUGAGUCCCGAAGUAGAUUCGUUCAGGGAGACAAUCAGUACUUUGAAGUUUGCUCAGAGAGCCUCGAUGUGGAACUUGGUGCAGCUCGUAUGAACAAGGAUAGCACCAAGGUUAAGGCACUCAAAGAACAGAUUGAGAGCCUAAAGAAGGCAUUGGCUAACAAAGAAGCACGAAGCGGACAACCAAAUGAGCCAAGAUCUCCACUUGAGAAACAAGCAAUGAAUGAACGUACUCCUCCACACUCCCGAAGGCUAUGCAUUG